UUUAUUAAGGGCAGACGGUGGAUGCCUUGGGAUAUCUAGGCGAUGAAGGACGUGGUGUGCCUGCGAUAAGCUGCGGUGAGGUGGCUAACAACCUUUGACCCGCAGAUUUCCGAAUGCGAUAACGCGGCCGAAUUAAACUCGGUCACCAAGCACAUAAUUUAUGUGCUUCGGAGCGAACCUGGGGAAGUGAAACAUCUUAGUACCCAGAGGAAAAGAGAACGCAGUUAAUUCUCUUAGUAGCGGCGAGCGAAAAGAGAAGAGCCCAAACCUAACCGUGCCUCACUUUCGUUCAGCACGAAUUUUCAAUGAUCAAUGAUCAAUUUUCAAUGAAUUUUCAAUGACUCAAUUUACAAAUCAUUUAAUUGAAAAUUGAAAAUUUAAAAUUGAAAAUUCCGUGGUGAGUGGUAGCGAGGCACGGCUGGGGGUAGUAAGAAGAUAACGUCCGGAGCAUUUCUGGUGCACAGAAAUGUUUUGGAGGGAGAAUAUUUAGACGAAGUUUGGUUAGAAGAAGCACCCUGGAAAGGGGCGCCAAAGAGGGUAAUAGCCCCGUAUUCGAAAAUCACUUCGUGCUCCUUGUUAUUUUUCUUGAGUAGCUCGAGGAAAGAAAGCCUUGAGUGAAACAUCCGCGACUAAUGCGGAAAGGCUAAAUACUAAGAUAUCUCCGAUAGUGAACCAGUACCGUGAGGGAAAGGUGAAAAGCAGCCCGUUGAGGGCGGUGAAAUAGAACCUGAAACCGUCAUGCCUACAAAGAGCCGGAGGUUCGACGUUACGUCGGACUGACGGCGUGCUUUUUGCAGAACGAGCCAACGAGUUCCGUUUAAAUUUUCGUCUAAGGGCUUCCAGCCCGAAGGCACAGGGAAACCGAGUGUUAAAAGCGCGAAUCUUUUAAUACAUUAAAAUAGAAAUUUAAACGGAGACCCGAAGCCAAGCGAGCUUGCCAUGGCCAGGGUGAACCCCGUGGAAACACGGGGGGAGGCCCGAACCCGUGGGUCGUGCAAUUCCUUGGGAUGAGCUGUGGUAAGAAGUGAAAAGCUAAACGAGCUUGGUAAUAGCUGGUUCUCCCCGAAAUAGCUUUAGGGCUAGCUCCCUGUUACAAGUUUUCGCAGGUAGAGCACUGGAUGGAAUAUCGUGCCUUAUGGUAGGUACUCCAACCAAACUCCGAAUGGCGAAAAUUAUUACAGGGAAGUCAGACGAUGAGCGCUAAGGUUCAUCGCCAAAAGGGAAACAGCCCAGAUCUUAAUCUAAGGUCCCUAAACUGUAUUUUCACUCCGACCCACUGCUUAAGAUACCUUCGGUUUCUUACGUCGCUUGUUCGCUUCGCUCACUCGCUCCUAUUUUUCCAAGACGGAGUGAAAAUAUUUUCACUCCGUGGAGGAAAACAGCGAGCCCGAGCGGAGCGAGGGCGAGCGUUAGAAACCUUGGGUUUCUAAAGGUGGGGGUCGGGGUGAAAAUCUUGAGCUAAGUGUUUUUAAGGAAGUGGGGAUCCUGUGAUAGUUAGGAGGUUAGCUUAGAAGCAGCUAUCCUUUAAAAAGUGCGUAAUAGCUUACUAACUAAGGAAUCCCGCGCCAAAGAUUUACGGGACUAAGCUCAGUACCGAAGAUAAGAACCAGCCAUACCUCAUUGCAUUCGGCAUGGAAUGAUUUAAUUUUUAAACAUUUUAAUUGAAAAUUGAAAAUUAAAAAUUGAAAAUUCCACCCGAGUGUAGCGAGGUGUGGCUGGUGGUAGGGGAGCAUUCGUAAUGCUGUGAAGUGGGAGGGUAACCGACCAUGGAGCGUUGCGAAGCGAGAAUGUUGGCAUGAGUAACCGCAAUCAGGGUGAGAGCCCCUGACACCGCAAGCCUAAGGUUUCCUUGGCAAUGUUGAUCAGCCAAGGGUUAGGCGGUCCUAAACUGAAGCCGAAAGGCGUAGGUGAUGGACAGCAGGUUAAUAUUCCUGCCCUUCUGUUAAAUAACCUCAAGGGGACGCAGUUUUGAAGUUCAAGGGGAUUAUUGGAUUUCCUGGGAAACUUCGGUUUCCUUUCUUGAAUCAAAAAUUGCCAAGAAAAUCCUUGAGUAUUCUAUUUAACAGGAUCCGUACCUUAAACCGACACAGGUAGGCUGGUAUAAAUGUACCAAGGUGAACGGGUGAAACCUCGUUAAGGAACUCGGCAAUAAAGUGUUCGUAAGUUCGCAAUAAGAACUUCCUUCACCUUCAAAGGUGAAGGGCGCAGCGAAAGUACCCCAGGCGACUGUUUACCAAAAACACAGGUCCCUGCUAAACUCGCAAGAGGAUGUAUAGGGACUGAGGCCUGACCAGUGCUGGAAUGUCAAUCUUGCCGGUCUUUGCUUUCGGGUAAAGGCUGAGCGAGUGAAGCACCAGUGAACGUCCGCGGUAACUAUAACCGUGUUAAAGUAGCGUAAUCCCUUGCCAGGUAAGUUCUGGCCCGCAUGAAAGGCUUAACGACUUGGGGGCUGUCUCAACGAGGAGCCCGGUGAAAAUGCAAUACCGGUAAAGAUGCCGGUUACCUGCGGCUAGACGGAAAGACCCCGGGAGCUUUACUGUAGCUAGAUAUUGGAUUUUGGUUUCAGAUGCGUAGCGUAGCGGGUAGGCUUUGAAGUCCCAUUUUCGGAUGGGAUGGAGCCGCCAAUGAAACACCCGUCUUUUGAAACCUUUAUUCUAACUCUGCCUGAAACGGCAGAAGACAGUGUCUGGUGGUCAGUUUAAGUGGGGCGCUUGCCUCCUAAAGAGUAGCGGAGGCGUUUAAAGGUCGGCUAGCCAGGGAUGGAAAUCCUGGCGAUAGGGCAAAGCCAUAAGCCGGCUUUACUGCGAGCAGGUUAUUGCGAGCAGUUGCGAAAGCAGAACUUAGUGAACCGACCUCUUUUUAUAGAAAAGGGGAAGAUCAUCAGCCAAAAGUUACCCCGGGGAUAACAGGCUAGUAGGGCCCGCAAGUCCAUAUUAACGGCCCUGUUCGGCACCUCGAUGUCGGCUCAUCACAUCCUGGAGGUGGAGAAGCUUCCAAGGGUUGGGCUGUUCGCCCAUUAAAGUGGUACGCGAGCUGGGUUCAGACCGUCGUGAGACAGGUUGGUCCCUAUCUACCGUAGGCGCCGAGUCUUGAGGGGAGUCGUCCUUUGUACGAGAGGAUCAGGAUGAACUAACCUCUGGUCUACCAGUUGUUCCGCCAGGAGCAUUGCUGGGUAGCUAAGUUAGGAUGGGAUAAAAGCUGAAAGCAUCUAAGCUUGAAGCCCGCCCCAAGAUUAGGACUCAAGACCCCUCCCAGAUCAGGAGGUUGAUAGGCUCUAGGUCUAAGUGCUGUGAGGCACUAAGCCGAGGAGUACUAAUAGGUCAGUU
rnacentral:rRNA from 1 species